rnacentral:rRNA from 1 species
AAUGGACGAAAGUUGACGGAGCAACGCCGCGUGAACGAAGAAGGCCUUCGGGUCGUAAAGUUCUGUUGUUAGGGAAGAACAAGUACCAGAGUAACUGCUGGUACCUUGACGGUACCUAACCAGAAAGCCACGGCUAACUACGUG